rnacentral:piRNA from 1 species
CUGGGAUUCAAAACAGCAUUUUAAAGACCA